rnacentral:rRNA from 1 species
GAUGAACGCUGGCGGCGUGCCUAAUACAUGCAAGUCGAGCGAACGGACGAGAAGCUUGCUUCUCUGAUGUUAGCGGCGGACGGGUGAGUAACACGUGGAUAACCUACCUAUAAGACUGGGAUAACUUCGGGAAACCGGAGCUAAUACCGGAUAAUAUUUUGAACCGCAUGGUUCAAAAGUGAAAGACGGUCUUGCUGUCACUUAUAGAUGGAUCCGCGCUGCAUUAGCUAGUUGGUAAGGUAACGGCUUACCAAGGCAACGAUGCAUAGCCGACCUGAGAGGGGGGUUCGGCACACUGGAAACUAGAACCGGGCCCAAACCCCCACGGAGGGAGGCGGAGGGAAAUGUUCCGCAAGGGGGAAAGCCCGGAGGAGGCAACGCGGGGUGGGGAAGAAAGGCUUUGGAUCCGAAAAAUCCGUUUAUUGGGAAAAAAAAAUGGGGAAGGAAACGGGCAAAUUUUUAAGGGACCCAAUCAGAAAGCCCCGGCUAAACUAGGG